rnacentral:rRNA from 1 species
GAUGAACGCUAGCGGCAGGCCUAACACAUGCAAGUCGAGGGAGAAGCCCUUCGGGGCAGAAACCGGCGCACGGGUGCGUAACGCGUAUGCAACCUACCUUUCACAGGGGGAUAGCCCGAAGAAAUUUGGAUUAAUACCCCAUAAUAUUAUUGGAUGGCAUCAUUUGAUAAUUAAAAUUACGAUGGUGAAAGAUGGGCAUGCGUCCUAUUAGCUAGUUGGAGUGGUAACGGCACCCCAAGGCUACGAUAGGUAGGGGUCCUGAGAGGGAGAUCCCCCACACUGGUACUGAGACAGGGACCAGACUCCUACGGGAGGCAGCAGUGAGGAAUAUUGGUCAAUGGUCGGAAGACUGAACCAGCCAUGCCGCGUGCAGGAAGAAUGCCUUAUGGGUUGUAAACUGCUUUUAUAUGGGAAGAAUAAGGAGUACGUGUACUUGAUGACG